AUUGAACGCUGGCGGCAUGCCUUACACAUGCAGGUCGAACGGUAACAGGUUAAGCUGACGAGUGGCGAACGGGUGAGUAAUGUAUCGGAACGUGCCCAGUCGUGGGGGAUAACUGCUCGAAAGAGCAGCUAAUACCGCAUACGACCUGAGGGUGAAAGCGGGGGAUCGCAAGACCUCGCGCGAUUGGAGCGGCCGAUAUCAGAUUAGGUAGUUGGUGAGGUAAAGGCUCACCAAGCCGACGAUCUGUAGCUGGUCUGAGAGGACGACCAGCCACACUGGGACUGAGACACGGCCCAGACUCCUACGGGAGGCAGCAGUGGGGAAUUUUGGACAAUGGGCGCAAGCCUGAUCCAGCCAUGCCGCGUGCGGGAAGAAGGCCUUCGGGUUGUAAACCGCUUUUGUCAGGGAAGAAAAGGUUCUGGCUAAUACCUGGGACUCAGGACGGUACCGGAAGAAUAAGCACCGGCUAACUACGU
rnacentral:rRNA from 1 species